CUGGGCUACGGAGACAUGUUCCCUCAGACCUGGUCUGGCAUGCUUGUAGGAGCUCUGUGUGCUCUUGCUGGUGUGCUUACCAUUGCCAUGCCUGUACCCGUCAUUGUGAACAAU